rnacentral:rRNA from 1 species
UACGUAGGUGGCGAGCGUCGUCCGGAUUUACUGGGCGUAAAGGGAGCGUAGGCGGACUUUUAAGUGAGAUGUGAAAUACCCGGGCUCAACUUGGGUGCUGCAUUUCAAACUGGAAGUCUAGAGUGCAGGAGAGGAGAAUGGAAUUCCUAGUGUAGCGGUGAAAUGCGUAGAGAUUAGGAAGAACACCAGUGGCGAAGGCGAUUCUCUGGACUGUAACUGACGCUGAGGCUCGAAAGCGUGGGGAGCAAACAGGAUUAGAUAUCCCCGUA